rnacentral:lncRNA from 1 species
UUUCCAAUUUAAAGGUUCAUUCGAUUAUUGUAAUGUUACACACAACUACACAAGCAUUUAUUCAAACAAUUUAAGUGUAAUAAGCUCGAUAAAACUUACAUCAUAAAUGUACACAUGAACAAUAAUAACGAAUUAGCCAGUUUGGCCAUCUUGAAGCAAAAGCUCUCCUAAUUUGAUUUCAGAAAAUGGCUUUGUUAAUGGAUGGCAUUUAGCAACUAGUUUUGAAGAAACUUGUUCCAUGGUUGGCCGAGAUUGAGGAUUCAUACUCAAACAUGCAUAGGGUUUGCUGGUUCGUUGUUGCUGAAGAUGACGAAAGAUAUGAAAUGAAAUCUCCUGGAUGUGUUCCCAUUAUUAUCUCCAGUGCUACCACACCAAAGCUAUAAACAUCACAUUUUUCAUUGACUACCAUUGUGUAAGCUAGCUCUGGAAAAAUUUCCAAUACACCCAUUAGUUUAUAAUAAUGAUAAUGGUGCAAAAUAUGUCAAAUACAUAUAUUUUAGACUAAUUAAGAUGUCAAGGUGUUUACCUGGAGCUGUGUAUCCAAAUGUUCUGGCAAAUGCAGUCCAAUUUGAUGUAUCCGGCAUCAAGAGCCUUGCUGUCCCGAAAUCAGAGACAUGAGCUUCUAAUUCUGAAUCUAGUAGGACAUUGUUGCUGGAAAGGUCUCGAUGAAUAAUUGGAGGGAAGCAAUCAUGGUGCAUAUAAGACAGUGCAUUAGCUAUUCCUUUAACAACAUUUAGCCUUUUACUCCAAUUUAACUCCNNNNNNNNNNNNNNNNNNNNNNNNNNNNNNNNNNNNNNNNNNNNNNNNNNNNNNNNNNNNNNNNNNNNNNNNNNNNNNNNNNNNNNNNNNNNNNNNNNNNNNNNNNNNNNNNNNNNNNNNNNNNNNNNGCAACAAUCUCAUUUUCAAAUGCUUUCACAUUCAACAUCUCAUCAUUCUGUGACUGGUUAUGAAGUUUCUUCACAGCAAUCACUCUACUUGUUGGCAACACAGCUUUAUAGACAACUCCAUACCCUCCCACUCCAAUACAAUACUUGGAAUCGAAACCUUCUGUAGCCUCGAUAAUGUUUUCAUACUGUAGAUCUUUAUCUGGGCUCCAUAUUGCAUGAACUCCUUCGUCACUACUUAACUUGGCUUUUCUCCUUAUACUUCUUCGACGGGAAAUGAAAAAACAUCCUAUGAAGAGAAAGAACAGAAACAAACUGGCGGACAAGAUUGGAGGAACAAUAUGUUUGAUUACUUUUUUGUCUUUUCUUCCUAUGGUUUUUUUUAUUGUGAAGGAAUCACAAGUCUUUAAGUUGGUGUUAUUACCGCACAAGUCUUUGUUGUUUCUCAGUGCUUCAAAUGGAGCCUCACGGAAAGCUUUAAUAUUAGGAAUCUGGCCCUUUAACUUAUUAUAAGAUAUAUCCACCGAUGUUUAGCUUAUCAAGUAAUCAAGAGUAGUUGGAAUAGAACUUGACAAUAAAUUGUGGGAGAGAUUCAACAUCUCUAGUCUUUGCAACUGUCCAAGCUGCUCUGGUAUCUCUUUUUUGAACAAAUUCUUAGAUCAAGGCUUUGUAGAAAGCGUAAAUUGCCAAUCUCUGAGGGGAUAUUACUAGAGAAUUCAUUUUUACUGAGGUUCAAGAAGAGUAAGUUUGAGCAUUCACCUAGCAGUUUGGGAAUAGAUCCACUAAGAUUAUUUGCAGCCAAAUUAAGAACAUAAAGAUCACGUAACUUACCAAUUUCUUUAGGAAUGUCACCUGAAAUCUUGUUGUUGCCAAGAUAAAGGUAAAAUAAUUGUAACUUUCCCAAUUUUUUCGGUAUAUUCUCCACAAGAUGAUUAGAUGAGAGGUCAAGCNNNNNNNNNNNNNNNNNNNNNNNNNNNNNNNNNNNNNNNNNNNNNNNNNNNNNNNNNNNNNUUUCAAAGUUGACAAAUUGUGAAAAUCUUCCCAUUUCCAUGAAAGCUCGCCAUAGAAUUUGUUAUCACUUAAAUCCAAAUAGUUUAAGUGUGGAUAUAUCCCAAAAUCUUGAGAUAUAUUUCCUGUGAGUUGGUUUCUCUCAAGACGGAGUCUUAUCAAGCUGCUACAAUUUUUAAGGCUUUGAGGUACGGGACCCGUAAAAUUGUUUCCAUAUGCACUGAAAUAUUGAAGUUGUCCACCAAGGCAUAUGUCAUUUGGUAGGUGACCUCCCAAUCUAUUUUCAUAUAUUUCUAAUUUUUCUAAGAGAGUAAGGUUGUUAAUGGAAGCUGGGAUUGCACCGGUGAGUUGAUUGUUUGACAAUUCCAAAUCAGUAACGGACCUCAACAUUCCAACUUCCCAAGCUAUAGAACCAGAAAGUCGGUUGAUAGAAAUAUAAAGUUUUGAUACCUUCGUCAACUUCCCUAUGGAAGCUGGGAUUGCACCGGUGAGUUGAUUGUUUGACAAUUCCAAAUCAGUAACGGACCUCAACAUUCCAACUUCCCAAGGUAUAGAACCAGAAAGUUGGUUGGUAUGAAGAUAAAGCAUUGAUGCCUUCGUCAAGUUCCCUAUGGAAGCUGGGAUUGCACCGGUGAGUUGAUUGUCUGACAAUUCCAAAUCGGUAACGGACCUCAACAUUCCAACUUCCCAAGGUAUAGAACCAGAAAGUCGGUUGGUAUGAAGAUAAAGCAUUGAUGCCUUCGUCAAUUUCCCUAUGGAAGCUGGGAUUGCACCGGUGAGUUGAUUGUAUGACAAUUCCAAAUCAGUAACGGACCUCAACAUUCCAACUUCCCAAGGUAUAGAACCAGAAAGUUGGUUAGUAUAAAGAUAAAGUAUUGAUGCCUUCGUCAAGUUCCCUAUGGAAGCUGGGAUUGCACCUGUGAGUUGAUUGUCUGACAAAUCCAAAUCAAUAACGCACCUCAACAAUCCAACUUCCCAAGGUAUAGAACUAGAAAGUCGGUUGGAAUAAAGAUAAAGUUUUGAUGCCUUCGUCAAGUUCCCUAUGGAAGCUGGGAUUGCAUCGGUGAGUUGAUUGUGUGACAAUUCCAAAUCAGUAAUGGACCUCAACAUUCCAACUUCCCAAGGUAUAGAACCAGAAAGUUGGUUAGUAUAAAGAUAAAGUAUUGAUGCCUUCGUCAAGUUCCCUAUGGAAGCUGGGAUUGCACCGGUGAGUUGAUUGUCUGACAAUUCCAAAUCAGUAACGGACCUCAACAUUCCAACUUCCCAAGGUAUAGAACCAGAAAGUUGGUUAGUAUAAAGAUAAAGUAUUGAUGCCUUCGUCAAGUUCCCUAUGGAAGCUGGGAUUGCACCUGUGAGUUGAUUGUCUGACAAAUCCAAAUCAAUAACGCACCUCAACAAUCCAACUUCCCAAGGUAUAGAACUAGAAAGUCGGUUGGAAUAAAGAUAAAGUUUUGAUGCCUUCGUCAAGUUCCCUAUGGAAGCUGGGAUUGCAUCGGUGAGUUGAUUGUGUGACAAUUCCAAAUCAGUAAUGGACCUCAACAUUCCAACUUCCCAAGGUAUAGAACCAGAAAGUCGGUUGUUAUAAAGAUAAAGUUUUGAUACCUUCGUCAAGUUCCCUAUGGAAGCUGGGAUUGAACUAGAGAAAUUAUUGUAUGACAAUGAAAGGAUCGUAAGAAAUGUCAAAGUUCCAAGUUGUUGAGGUAUAGGACCUGAAAAUUGGUUCUCAUAAAGUUUAAGAACUGAUAGCUUCGUUAAGUUUCCUAUUGAAGUUGGGAUUGAACUAGACAAAAGGUUGCUUGACAAGUCAAAGUAUGUGACAAAGGUUAAUACUCCAACACCUUGAGGAAUGAUACCGGAGAUUAAAUUAAUAGACAAGUCAAACAGAUUGAGUUUGGAAAGAUUACCAAUAUAGGAAGGAAGGUUCCCAUGAAAUGAGUUGUUGCGAACGUUAAAGCAAAUAAGUUUGGGAAAUAAGAAAAUAUCAAGAUUUUGAAGUGUACCUUCUAACUGAGAAUCCACCAGUCUUAUUGCAGAGAUACUUUUAUCCUUAUGACAAUGAAUACCAAACCAAUGGCAAGGAAUAGCACUGGUUGCAGACCAAGAAGAUAAGACAGAUUGGCUCUGAUUAUCAAGACUAGCUUUCCAUUUUAGAAGAGCAUUUGCUUGAGUUUGAAUAGUAGUAGUAGAAGUAAAAGUAAGGACACGAAAGAAUAAUAUAAUUACUAGCAUAGUAUUAAGGGAGAAGAAGGAGAGAGAUUUGUGUAAGGAGGAUGGCAUAAUCAGUAGGUAGUUGCUUAUAAAUAAUGAGGGAUUAGAGAAAUGUUGUUGAGGAAUUUAAGACUAGAUGAAGAGAUAUUUAUAGGGAAAAAUUUUUCCAGACUGAAGUCAUGGCACCACUUAUAGAUCCAAUCAAUUAAACUAAAGAUUUUUAAACAGGGUUCGACUUUAUUUUUUAAAAAAUAUAUAUAUAUAUAUGUGGUUAGAAAUAUCUAACUAUUACAUGUUUGUGGAAAUUUAAGGACAAAACAGAACAUUGAGGUGUCAACAAAUAAGUAAUUUUAAAGACAAAAAGAUGUAAUUAAUUGACGUGUAUGUGUUUUUAGAAAUUUAUUACAGAACAUAGAGGUAACAACUAAUAAGUAAGUUUAAAGACAAACGCAAUUAAUUCCACUUUUGAGUUUACUUUGUUGUUGACCCAAGCAUAGGCCCUAAACAAGCCAAUAUUCUCUUUGUUUUCUAUUUUUUUAUAAAUAAAUUAACACCCGCAAUCCUUUGAUAUGCUAGGAUAAGGAGAUGAAUACAAAAGGAAAUCUCAAGGAAAUUUCAAAAGAAAACGACAUAACUGAAAAAAUUUUUUUUUCCAAAAAUAAUGCAUGGUGCUAUGAUGAUUAAAUUACUAUUACCACAUAUACCUCCAAUAAUUACGUAUUGAAUAUUGACGAUCGAAUCUACCAGAAAUAAUAACCACGGUAAAAAAUUAAAUAAUUACUAUAAAUGUCGUCAGAUGAAAAAUAAGGACACCGAGAUUUACGUGGUUCACCUUUCAACUGUUAUGGGCUACGUCCACGGGACAAAAACUCGAAAUAAUUCUUCCACUAAAAAUAGUAGGUACAAAAAAGAUUACAAAAAUAGUGGUACUUUAAGUGUUUCCCAAAAAGACCCUAAAAAUUAUAAUCCUUACUAUUUUCUCUCUUUUCUAAUUUUAAGAACCCUUUCCUAAAAUUCUCUACAUUAAUUGUGUAUUCAUAUUCUUUUAUUUUUGUGUGUUUUGCUUAGUGGAUGCGUCAUUAACGCGUUAAUCACGCGUACACUUUUCCUUUUUUUCUCCUUCUGCAAACAAAACGUUUUUUUUUUCUCUUUUCUUCAAACUUUUGUGGGUCCCACAUAUCGGAGAGACCCCACAACAUGGCUUAGACAAAGCAAUACAUUGAUUUAUGUUCCAAGCUAGAUUCAUUAUUAGUAUCCCCGCUAAGAAGAUCUCCUUUGAUUUGCUCGACUUAAAGGGGGAAGAAAGGGUGAUGUUAAAGCAAUACAUUGAAAAUUUUCAAAAGUUGGCGAUGCAAGUUGAUAAUGUUAACCAAGUAGCCGUAGGUGCAAUGGAGAAAAAUUAUAAUUAUAACAGUUUGUUUGAAUCGCUUCAUAUUGGUCCUUAGUGCUCGUUUGAAGAACUCAUGUCAAGAGCAAAUAAAUUCUCAAAACAAGAUGAAUCCUGGAAAGUGCAGUAGAAAAAAUUAAGAACGGUUUGAGGAUAAGAAGAAUGAUCGGAAGAGUCAAUCUAAUUAGUUGCAAAAUCAAUUUAUUUAUUUGAUUAGAAAAAAAAAAAAAGAAUAGAGGAAGGAGGAAGUAACUUGUAGAAUGUGAAAUUGCAACCUUCAUCGAGGAAAGCCCACCUAAAAGUCAGUACAUUUCCCAAGGAUUUUUUCUUUUCUGAUUACUCUUUAUUUGGUGACCAUUUUUUCCUUGUGCUGCAUUAAGUUCUACAUUAAUAUUAGUUUUUGUGAAUUGUACUAAAUAAGUUUUCUAUGUGUACUCAAGGAAAGAAGAAAUUCUAUGAACAAGCCCCUUUGUUUUUGUUUGGUGGAUUACAGGCUCGAAUUCUAAAUUUUAAUUUAGGAAAAGUUUGUUUAUUGAACUGAAUUAAUAAUAAGUUGCUUAUUUAUAUUUACAUAUUUUGCAAAUCAAAUUUUAAUUCAGUUCUUGAUAUAACAUUUCUUAAUCAUUCAACUCAAUAAUAUAGUUCAGACAUACAAACUCUUCCUAACUAAUAAGAUAAAAACUAAUACCAAAGACUCUAAAAAUUUUUUGUUUUCAUAAUUUUAUAAUUUAUCAAAAAGUUUUAUAAAGUUUUUAAGUUUCAAAUAAUUAAGCUUUUUGAAUUACUAACUUGACAGUGUAUUUUUAAGAUUAGAUUUGUCAAGACGAGGUCUAUAGCUAUGAACAUUUUAAAAAUUAUUUUCAUUUUCUUUUUUCAUUGUAUGAUUAAAAAUACCUUUAAAUUAAUAAAAAAAUAAUUUUUCAUUGGUUUGGUUCAUAGUGAGCCCAUAAACCGAGUAAAACAAGUCACUCCAAUUUUUAUGACUUUAAAAUGACAAAAAAUAAAUUAAUUUAUUUGAAAAUCUAUAAGAGACUUUUUAUUAAAUAAUGAAUAAAGAUGAUUUCAAUUGUCUAUUCAAAAUUUGGGUAAACCAUUAGAUACCUUCAAACUUUGCGUCUUGUACCAAUUUUACCCUAAAUCCAACUUAAUCCCUCAAGCACUCCAACUAAAAUGUUUUGUCACAAUUAUACCCCAAUUGGAAAUUGAUCAAAAUUAAUGAAUUAUAUAUAUUAAAUAUGGGUCCUAUAACUUAUACUUGAAUUAACUUUACCUCAAAGAAUGAGUUAGCUAAAUUAUACUAUAAAAUACCCCAAAGAACUUUACCCCAAAGAACUUUGACGAUUAAAUGAUUUCACUCCAAAAUGACCUUAAUCACUCAGACACUUACUUUUAACUUUUUAUCACAACUGUACGUUGAAUUCAAAUUAUAGCAAAUAUAUUGUUUGAAUAAGGGGUCACAUUCAAUUACAAUUUCACCUUAGAUUCAAAUUUUAUCUUAUUUUAAUAGAGCCCCUAAAUUACUAGACAAGUGUCAAUUUUAAAACGAUAUUAGAAAUGAAAACGUCGAUAUUAGAAAUGAAGAUAACCUAAUUUUUGGUAAAAAAAUAAAUUAAUAAUUCACAACCUAACCUUAAUGAAUCCACGUCACACCCUCAUACAUACAAACAAUAUAAAAAAAAGAUGUAUUCUACAACAAAGAAAAAUAAACCAAUAGAAAACGAAGUAACAAAACCAAAAAUGAAGGAAUAAAAUAAUAAACAAAAAAUGAAAAAAAAUGUAAAUAAAGCGAAAAAUUAGGAAAAAGUACAAACAGAAAAACUAGAUAUAUAUACGAAAUAAAUUAUGGUUUCGGUUCCAUAAUUGGAAAACUAAAUAGUUGAAAAUUAGGUUUCCGAUUCAACGAUAAAUAAGGUGUGUAUAUAUAUAUAUAUAUAUAUAUAUAUAUAGUAAUCAAUAAAAUAACUCACCUGACACCUAGAAAUCAAAAAAAUAUAUAUAUAGAAUCGCAAUCAACAUCGAUGGAGCAGAAUAUCUCAAGAAGAAUGAAAUUUAUGAGGAAUAAAAUACAGAAAGAAGAAGAUGAAAAAAACUAAAUGAAAGCGAAAUCGUAGAAUAAAAAUCAAUUUUCUGAUAAAACAAAAAUAAAAAUAAAAAUAAAAAUGAAAUUGUAGAAUAGAUAUUAAUUUUCCGGUGAAGAAUAAAAAUGAAAACGAAAAUGAAAUGAUAGAACAAAAAUUGAUUUUUCGAUGAGGACUCUCGCGUCAAUAGUGACUGACGAUGACUCUCAUUCUGGUCUUGCUGCCAAAGGCAAUUCACGCCUGCCAUUAAAACAAAAAGUAGUAAAAGAAGAAACAUUAGUUUCAAAGUGACAAAUAAUAGCAUCCAAACAGAAAAUAAAAACCUAGUUACGUGAAAAGGUAAAUAAGUAAAUCACUAACAAAACUGAUAUUGUUUUAAUAAUUUAGGUCAAAAUGAGAUUUUUAAACUAAAGUUUCAAAAUCUGACAUAUACUAUAAUAUGCUUAUUAGAAUAAGUAAAAAAGGUACUACCUUCCCCCCGAAAUGUGAGAACCAUUUAAAAAAAAGUUUAAUGUAUAAAUUUACUAUUUUAUUUUUUUGCAAAAAAUCUUGUGAUACCUCUAAUUUCGCUUUGACCGAGUGAAUACCAUAAUUUAUAAAAUUGUGUCCAUUAAAAUGCUCCAACUUAUGAAAUUCAAUCAUAAUUAAAAAAAAUAAGAAAAUAGUUAUUCUAAAAGUUGUACUGAAUAUAUAUAGGACCCUUUUGGUCUCUUAAAGGACAACAAUAAUUCAAUUAUUACUACUCUAAUUUCUUUAUGAAAUUCCCAUUAAAUUUUACUACUCCAUUUAUGAACCGAAUCAAUGAAACUAAAGAUUUUUAAACAGUGUUCAUGUUGAAGGUCAUGGCAUUCUUGUCGUCACAUUAUGAAAACAUUUUUGUUUUGGAUGUCUAAAGUGUUUGUAAGGUUUUUAAAUUUAGAAAUGUAAAUAAUUACUUUUUUCAUAAUAACAUUUAUGAUUCUUGAUUGAAUGAAUGUCUUUUAUUAAUAUCUUAAUUAGUUAAGGAUAUAAAAUGGUAAAAUAACUUUUAUUGACUAAAUUAUUAAUAUGCGUGUUUUGUCAAACCCUGCAAAUAAAAUGAGACAGAUUGAGUAUUUUUUUUCAUAUAGUUUGAAUUCUUUUAUGGUUGUUGAUUUUAUAAUCCUAGUAUUAUAAAUGUUUCAUUGGAAUAUAGAUCAUGCCAUUAAACAAAUAACACAAAUAUUAAUUAUCAUUAAUCUUCCAUAAUUAUCAUAACAAAUAACACAAAUAUUAAUUGUAAUAACCUCCUGUAAUUAUCAUAAAUUUUGUUGCAAUUUUGAUUUGAACUAAUUUCUUAUAAAUUAUCAUAAAUCUCUAAUUUUUUGCUUCCACCAAUAAUACAAAUACCAAUCAGCAUAAAUUUUCCAUAAUUAUCAAUUUUUUUUUUUAACCAAUAUCGUAUAUAUUAUCAUAAAUCUCCACAUAUUAACGCAAUUAAAUCAUUUUUUUUUAAAUAUGACCUAGAAUAAAAAUGACAAAAAAAAAAAAAAUUUCCAAUUUAAAGGUUCAUUUGAUUAUUGUAAUGUUACACACAACUACACAAGCAUUUAUUCAAACAAUUUAAGUGUAAUAAGCUCGAUAAAACUUACAUCAUAAAUGAAUAUACAAACCUAAACUUCUUUUAAAAAAUAUAAAACAUGAACUAUAAAAUUCUUUGUUCAUAUGUAAAUUAAGAGACUUCCAUUCUUAAAAA